rnacentral:SRP_RNA from 1 species
GGCAGGAAGGCAGCAGCCGCAAAGCC